GGAUGCUUGGGGGUCUUGUAGUCAGGGUUCUUGCAGUUGGGGGCAGAGGGUUCAGUCUGCCAACUUGUGGAGGCAGUUCAGCAUCUCCUGAAGAGCAAAGAGACUGUCUGCUGUGAUGGAAGAUAGAGGAGGUUUCUUCAUGCCUGCUUUCUCACAUUCACAUGAAGAGCCCACACAACCAGGGAGAGCUGGCUGACUAAUGGGUGAUAGAGAGGAAACAGUGACAGAUGCAAAUGGUUGCUGAAGCAUGAAUAUUAGCUGAAGAGCACACAUUAAUUUGCCUCCCGGAGUGUAAAGACAUCAAAGCGAAGACAGGGAACCUAAGGUUGAGGAUUCCAAACUGCCUAUCAAUGGUAAGCACAGUACUCCAAAUAAAAUAAAAGAAAAUACACCUUGUUCAUUUGAAAA